AUACGGAGGGUCCGAGCGUUAAUCGGAAUUACUGGGCGUAAAGCGCGCGUAGGUGGUUCAGUCAGUCAGAUGUGAAAGCCCCGGGCUCAACCUGGGAACUGCACCUGAUACUGCUGAGCUAGAGUACGGUAGAGGGCAGUGGAAUUUCCGGUGUAGCGGUGAAAUGCGUAGAGAUCGGAAGGAACACCAGUGGCGAAGGCGACUGCCUGGACUGAUACUGACACUGAGGUGCGAAAGCGUGGGUAGCAAACAGGAUUAGAUACCCUGGUAGUCCACGCCGUAAACGAUGUCAACUAGCCGUUGGGGGACUUGAUCCUUUAGUGGCGAAGCUAACGCAAUAAGUUGACCGCCUGGGGAGUACGGCCGCAAGGUUAAAACUCAAAUGAAGUGACGGG
rnacentral:rRNA from 1 species